rnacentral:tRNA from 1 species
GCCAGGAUACCAAAGUGGUCAACUGGGGGAGACUGUAAAUCUCUUGCCCUUGCGGCUUCGUAGGUUCGAAUCCUACUCCUGGCA